UUCCUUUUCCGAAACUGGGUUUUCUCCUAAGUUACAUACAUACAUACAUACAUACAUACAUACAUACAUACAUACAUACAUACAUACACAAACAAACCUUAGACUUGAGUUAGUAGUUCGAGCGGUUGAUGAAUAUGUAUGAGAACCCGGCUGUUUAAGGAGCGUGAAUAAACAUGAGCGGGUGUAUCCUCUCGCUAAGCAUCGCCAGCUCGGAGGGAACAGAGUCCCUGCAACUUCGCUUAUUCCGGAUUGCCGCGGUGCUGAGCCGGCCGCCUGAGCUUGAGCGAGUCUCUGUGCGCCCCGCACUUGGCACACACCCCAAGGGGCACGGAUCAGUGCACGCUGGCUCCCGGAUCUUCGGAUACAGUUUUCUUUCUCCCAAGUUUUGAGCCCAUGUUACAAUAAAGAAAGAGUUGCUGAGCAGAGGCACCCAAUCUAUGUUUCCUGCCAUCAAAGCCACCUGAAAAAGCGGGGGUAAAAGCGUCCAUCUGUGCAUCUCAGGGAGCAGGGUGUGUUCCCGCAAGGCGCUUGUUUUCCGUUGUCUGUGGACCCAUGAAUGUCCACGAAGGAUAAUCGCCCACCAUUAACCUUCCCAAACCCUCGUCUUCUCCCGCAGGGGAAAAGGCCCUGGUGUGUGCCCAUCCUGAAGUCACUGCGCCUUGGUCUUUGGAACCUAUGAGACAAGAGCAAGCCUUGGCAGCUUCCCUCAGCCUCAACGUCUCCGUGUCUCUCGUGAACACACUUUUGGUAACUUACGUGGAUUACAUCGAGUGCCUCAGCUCCUGCUUAGAUCUGAGAGUCAGACUGCGGAAGUCUCAGUGUGGCCUUGGACCAGGUCUGGCAGAACCAACCAGAUAAAACCCGCAGCAGGCCUUUGGGCCUUCAAACUUCUCCUGCCACAAAAGCUCCACCAGCCCAAGUUCUUGGCCUGCAGGGUCAGGCUGUGUGUGUACCCUGCAGGCAAGCAAGCGAUUUGCAGAAGGUCCUCCUCAGCUCCAGUUGGGCUGGUGGGAUGCGCUUCCCUGCGGGGCGUCUACUUUUUCUUCCAUAAUUCAAUCUACUAGGCAAAAGAACAUGCUAAUGAACCCAGCAGAAAGCCUUGAGUGGUUUAAGAUGAACAACUUGAGAAGGAGGCCUGUGUCUUGCUGGCCUUGGAAUCCUUCCUGGCUGUACUGAAGAACCAGCAAGGGCCCCAGCUCCUACAUUUACUCUCCAGUGUCCCCUCUGGUGGGCAUUCGUCAUCCCUUCCACCACACAGCUACCCACCAUCUAACCUUUGGCUGUUUUUCUCCUGUAACCCCGAAGAAGAGACAAUUCCUACUUAGAGAAGGGCAGCCUCUCCAACCCUGGAGAACCUCCCAGACGGUUUCCAGAAAUCCUCUUUCUGCAGGUCACGCCUUUGUGUGAUCCUUCUAUCCUGUGUUAGAGACAGCAGUGCCUGCUGAGCCUGCCAGAUCAGGUUAUAAAAAUAGUGACCCUCCCCUACCUCCAGACUCCCUCCCUCCACCCCACCCCCAGCACUUCCUCCAAGCUGCCAUUUUGUGAAUGGUUCUGUGGAGAAACUUGGAAGACAAGGAGCUGGCAAAGGCAGCUAAGGGACUGAACCGGAAGUCCUCCUCUCCCUACCCCGAGACAACAGCAUCUGCCCGCCCGAGGUUUUGCUUAGGAAGGAUUCUGGGCCACAGGCGCUCAACGAGGACACUGCAGGAGCUGGCAUGCAUCCUCACGCCCAAGGAGCCUUGAGAACGAGCUCUCCACGGUAUGCACCAUGAUGAUGGGAGCCGUUGGAGUCUGGAAUACAUCGUUUUUGCCUCCCCCCACUUUCUGGGGAAGAAUCAAGAAAAAGGAAACAGAAAACAUUAGGUGAUGGAAGAUGUUGUGUUCAAGCCUCCUUUCUUCUCCCACUUUCAUUCUAAGAACUUCUGAGAACAGGAAACUGGGCUGUGUACUUUCUCGUGCUCUGUGGAAGCCGGACAUACAAACCCUUUGCUGUAUAUUCCCCAUGAUCCUGGGUGCCUACUGGAUGCUUCUCCAUGGGACUGGUGUUGCGACCAGACCUGCUUUACCCAAAGAAUGAAUGGAUGCCGUCCAACUUGCUUAUCCCAUCUUUCCCAGAGAGUCUUAACUAGUAAGGGAACAUUUCAGUAAAUGAGACCUGAGACCACAGUUUGUACAAGAGACCAACAGAUUUUGAUUUUCAGAGAUCGAAAUAAUUUCAAGUAGAUGAAGCCAUACCCAC
rnacentral:lncRNA from 1 species